UGGGGAAUUUUGGACAAUGGGCGAAAGCCUGAUCCAGCAAUGCCGCGUGUGUGAAGAAGGCCUUCGGGUUGUAAAGCACUUUUGUCCGGAAAGAAAUCCUUGGCUCUAAUACAGUCGGGGGAUGACGGUACCGGAAGAAUAAGCACCGGCUAACUACGUGCCAGCAGCCGCGGUAAUACGUAGGGUGCAAGCGUUAAUCGGAAUUACUGGGCGUAAAGCGUGCGCAGGCGGUUUGCUAAGACCGAUGUGAAAUCCCCGGGCUCAACCUGGGAACUGCAUUGGUGACUGGCAGGCUAGAGUAUGGCAGAGGGGGGUAGAAUUCCACGUGUAGCAGUGAAAUGCGUAGAGAUGUGGAGGAAUACCGAUGGCGAAGGCAGCCCCCUGGGCCAAUACUGACGCUCAUGCACGAAAGCGUGGGGAGCAAACAGGACUAGAUACCCUGGUAGUCCACGCCCUAAACGAUGUCAACUAGUUGUGGGGAUUCAUUCCUUAGUAACGUAGCUAACGCGUGAAGUUGACCGCCUGGGGAGUACGGUCGCAAGAUUAAAACUUAAAUGAAUUGAC
rnacentral:rRNA from 1 species